rnacentral:rRNA from 1 species
CUUGGUCAUUUAGAGGAAGUAAAAGUCGUAACAAGGUUUCCGUAGGUGAACCUGCGGAAGGAUCAUUAUUGAAUAAACUGCCUUGAUGGGUUGUUGCUGGCCUUUUGGGGCAUGUGCACACCUGUCUUGACUCUAUUCAUCCACCUGUGCACCUCUUGUAGUCCUUUGCUUUCUGAUAUAUAAGUCAUCCAUUCAGCUGAGACACUGCUGGAUUUCAGAAUUGCCCUGUAUUCUUAUUUGGCUUUUCUGUCUUUGUGGGUCUUUACUCAGAGAGCACAAAAAGGGGCUAUGUCUUUUUUAUCAUACACCAUGUAGUCUGUCAUCAGAGUGUAAUCAAUGGGCCUUUCAGUGCCUAUAAAAUUUUAUACAACUUUCAGCAACGGAUCUCUUGGCUCUCGCAUCGAUGAAGAACGCAGCAAAAUGCGAUAAGUAAUGUGAAUUGCAGAAUUCAGUGAAUCAUCGAAUCUUUGAACGCACCUUGCGCUCCUUGGUAUUCCGAGGAGCAUGCCUGUUUGAGUGUCAGUAAAUUCUCAACCCCUCUGGUCUUUUUGGCUAGUUGGGGCUUGGAUGCUGGAGGCUGUUGCUGGCCUGAGUUUUUCAAGGUCAGCUCCUCUGAAAUGCAUUAGCAGAACCCUUUGCAAUCUGCUACAGGUGUGAUAAUUAUCUACAUCUAAGGUUGCUCUGUGUCUUGUUCAGCUACCAACAGUCCGAGAAGGACAACAUUCAUUACUGAACCUUUGACCUCAAAUCAGGUAGGACUACCCGCUGAACUUAAGCAUAUCAAUAAGCGGAGGA